GGGUCUGUUUGUCCUCCCCUUUUCCUAGUUUCUUAGUUUGUUUUCCUUUAGUUAGUUUUAUUUCCACCUGUCCCUGGAACCACCACUUCUCAAGACAUCCAGCAGAUGUCACCCAUGCUCCACCCCUGAGAAGUGUCCUGGUUCAACCCGGACACACACCUGCAGCUGGUUUAGAGGGCGUGGACCUGCGAUAUAAGCAGCAGCUACACUCCGUCUCACCGCCUGAGUGUUUGCCUACCACGGUAACCAGCGUUCCAGAAAGAGGCCUUCUGUGAUUACUCUCGUCUAACCCUUGUUGUCUCCCUCGCCAGAUUCUCCCGCCGUCUUCUAGUUGUUUCCCGGAAACCAGCUGCCCCCCGCAUUCGUGUAAGUCUGUCUCCCCGCUGUGGAUCACCUCCCUCCUGUGUGAUUUCCCGACGCUGCCGGUGUUCCCGGUCAGACGCCACUCCCUGUGUGUGUGUGCGUGAUCUCCCCUCGUCGAUCCCUCCCCGGGAUUUCCCCUUCGGGACGCUACGGGCCAGGAGGCCCACGCCCGAACUUCCCGGAGGACCGCCUGGACGGAUCAGGCUCCAGGCCGUGCCCGACAUCAGAGCUAAGCAUCGCUCGUCAACGGACACUCGGCUCGCGCUCCGCUUCGCCCCUAAUACCUCCACGCCAAUAGAAGAACCGGUCCGCCGAUUCGGCUUCGCCACCAGCUCCCUGAUCCUUCAAUAAACAUUAUUGUUUCUGA